rnacentral:rRNA from 1 species
GACGAACGCUGGCGGCGUGGAUUAGGCAUGCAAGUCGAACGGUAUCAUCCUUUCGGGGGUGAGAGAGUGGCGAACUGGUGAGUAACACGUAGGUUAUCUACCCUCAAGACGGGGACAACCCAGGGAAACUUGGGCUAAUACCGGAUGUGAGCAACUUUUAGUUGUUUGAAAGGUGGCGUAAGCUGUCGCUUGGGGAUGAGCCUGCGUCCUAUUAGUUAGUUGGUGAGGUAACGGCUCACCUAGGCAAUGAUAGGUAGGCGGCCUUAACGGGUGGUCGCCCACACUGGGAUUGAGAUACGGCCCAGACUCCUACGGGAGGCAGCAGUCGAGAAUAGUCUACAAUGGUCGGAAGACUGAUAGUGCGACGCCGCGUGAACGAUGAAUCCCGUUGGGGUUAAAGUUCUUUUAUAUGUGAGCAGUGCUUCUUAUAUUAACAGUAUGGGGAAGAGAUAUUAGCAUAUGAAUAAGCAACGGCUAACUCCGUGCCAGCAGCCGAGGUAAUA